rnacentral:lncRNA from 1 species
GCCUAGCCAGUGUUCUGCAUGCCGGCGGCGAUGCCCUUCAUGGUGAGGAUGAGCGUGUCUUCCAGGCCGGGCGGGUACUCGCUCGCCGGGUUCAGCUUGACCAGUCCGGCGGGCUUGUUCUCGUCGGCGAACUCCUUGGACAGCGGCGGCUGGGGCGUCACCUUGAAGUUGGGGUCCCUUAUCCGCUUCAGCGUGUAGGCCUGGAACACGUUCAGGGUGGUGAUGUAGGGGUUGCGCAGCACCAGCCCCUGCUUCAGGAAUGGAUCGCCUUCAAGAAUAUCCUUGUGCCCAGCGAUCUGCACAAAGUGGAGUAGUCAGUCAUCGAUCAGGAACCAGACACCAGACUUUUAUUCAUACAGUGAAGUGAAGUGAAGUGCAGUGCAGUGAGUUGCUGGUUUUUGUACCUGGAGGAGAAG